rnacentral:rRNA from 1 species
AUGAUCGUUCUGAAGUUGGACUUCAGGAAGGCUUUUGACAGUGUCAGUUGGGCAUGCAUCUUCAGUAUUAUGGAGGCAUGGGGCUUCCCCCGGCGAUGGAUCGGCAGGGUCUCUUCUCUUCCGCGCACCUCCAGCUCUAGGGUCAUGAUCAAUGGUGAGCUUGGAGACCCGAUUGUCUCCAAGAGAGGGUUCAGGCAGGGCGAUUCGUUGUCACCUUAUCUGUUCAUCCUGGUGGCUGACGUGCUGCAACGGAUGUGCUAUGUUGCGUUCGAGGCAGGGAGUUUGGUUCACCCACUAGGCUCAGACAGGUUGUUCCGGUGCUGCAGUACGCCGAUGACACGCUGCUUCUCUUCCAGGGCAGCAUACAGCAGGCCGUUGUUAUCCGGGAUAUCCUGGCAGCUUUCACAGGUUUUACCGGUCUGCACAUAA